AGUGAACGCUGGCGGUAGGCCUAACACAUGCAAGUCGAACGGCAGCACAGUAAGAGCUUGCUCUUACGGGUGGCGAGUGGCGGACGGGUGAGGAAUACAUCGGAAUCUACUUUUUCGUGGGGGAUAACGUAGGGAAACUUACGCUAAUACCGCAUACGACCUACGGGUGAAAGCAGGGGAUCUUCUGACCUUGUGCGAUUGAAUUAGCCGAUGUCGGAUUAGCUAGUUGGCGGGGUAAAGGCCCACCAGGGCGACGAUCCGUAGCUGGUCUGAGAGGAGGGUCAGCCACACUGGAACUGGGACACGGUCAAGACUCCUGCGGGAGGCAGCAGUGGGGAAUAUUGGACAGUGGGGGCAAGCCUGAUCCAGCCAGACCGCGUGGGUGAAGAAGGCCUUGGGGUUGUAAAGCCCUUUUGUUGGGAAAGAAAAGCAGCAGGUUAAUACCCCGCUGUUCUGACGGUACCCAAAGAAUAAGCACCGGCUAACUUCGUG
rnacentral:rRNA from 1 species